AUGUCCCAAGUUCUAAAGUUUCUCAGGGGAGUAAUCAAGGCAACCCGCUCUCCUUUCUUCUAUAAAGCCAUGUAUCAUCGCUCCUCCCCGAUGAGAGGUUCAAGGACGUGUCUGCACUUGGUUCUGUUUCAUCCAGAGAAAAUAGAAACACAGACCGAGGAAGGCUUUGCUCAAAGUGGAGGCUCUUGGUUACUGGUUCCCCAACAUGGGGAGGCGCCAUCACGCUGGGAACAUGGACUCCUUGGUCCCGCCUACCACCAGCCGGGGCUUUGUGCCAAUGUCCUGAGUGUGGGUGAAGGGGAAGGCCUCUGAGGAGGUGUGAGCCGGUGAUAACAGUCCAGCAGGUGGAUGGGAGACCCCUGAGUCAACUGCACAGCCCAGCUCUCUGCAUGGUUGAGGGAUCACUGAAUAUGUUGGAGGUAAGUAAUCAUUUGGGAGGGACGAAUGCUAAGAAAUGUUAUCUUCAUCAGAAUAAAAAUAUUGAUGAGGAAAAUCAUGCUUUCUAUGGUAAAAUAAUCAGGAUCUUGGGUUCAAGCUUCAGUGUCAUUGAUAUACUUCUGGGGGAGUAGUGUUUUGAAAGUAAGCAAAAUGAAUGAGAUUUUUCAUUUCUACCCCUUGUUAUUACACAGCAACUAUUUUCCAAAAAUAGCCAGGAGAGGGGGAGGGAGAGGCACCCUCCCCUUCCACCCCCUCCCACCCCCCACCGGGGGAAGGAAGCUUUGACAUCCUGCCUGCUGGGCUAGAAAUGUGAGCCCCAGGGAACUGCGGGAAGGAGAAGGGGUGCUGAUGGGGAAAAUGGCAACAUGUACAUCCUGACUCUUCCCCUGCCCUGGUUCAGAGGAAUCUUGGCCAUGUUUCCCUCUGCUUAAAGUGUUAGCUCCUCUGAUUAGGCCAAGAGGGAGAAGAGAAUUCGAGUGAGCGCUUCCAUGAGCCCUCAGUUCCCAAUGUGCUAUGGUGAGGAUCCAGCAGAUUCCUGGGCUCCCAAGGGUGGGGAAUCAGCAGUACAACCUUGGGAAGCUGAUAUAAGGGUUGCUGUGUUGGGACAAAGUGACUUGUAGCCAAGAGCUAUGGGAAAG
rnacentral:lncRNA from 1 species